GUAGGUGAACCUGCGGAAGGAUCAUUAUUGAAAUAAACCUGAUGGGUUGCUGCUGGCUCUCUCGGGAGCAUGUGCACACUUGUCAUCUUUAUAUCUCCACCUGUGCACCUUUUGUAGAUCUGGAUAUCUUUCUGAAUGCCUGGCAUUCAGGUUUGAGAAUUGACUUUUUGUCUUUCCUUACAUUUCCAGGCCUAUGUUUUCUUCAUAUACACCAUUAUGUUAUAGAAUGUAAUGAAAGGCCUUUGUGCCUACAAACUUUAUACAACUUUCAGCAACGGAUCUCUUGGCUCUC
rnacentral:misc_RNA from 1 species